rnacentral:rRNA from 1 species
AUGACUCUUGGUAAUAGAUAUCUCGUCUCUCGCAUCGAUGAAGAACGUAGCAAAAUACGAUACUUGGUGUUAGUUAUAGAAUCCCGUGAACCCUAGAGUAUUUGAACACAAGUUGCGCCCGAAGCCAUCAAGUUGAGGGCACGUCUUCCUGGGCGUCACUAAUCGCGUCGCCCCCCUCGCAUCGCACCUCAAUCAUGAGUCUCACUAUUGUCGUGUGGUGGAUACUUGCUUCUCGUGCACCUCGAGCUCGCGUCUAGCCUAAAUGCGAGUCCACGUCGAUGGAUAUCGCGGGAAGUGGUGGUUGUAUCUUAACUCUCUUUGUUGUCGUGGCUAUAGCCCGUCGUGCGUCCAGACUCCAGGACCCUUUUGCGCUUAGUCACUCCGACCGCGAUCCCAGGUCAGGAGGGAUUACCCGCUGAGUUUAAGAAUAUCAAUAAGAGGAGAAAAAAAAACUUACAAGGAUUUUCUUAGUAACGACGAGGGAAAUGGGAAUAGCCCAGCCUUAGAAUCGGGCAGCUCCUUCAUCCGAAUUGUAGUUUGGAGAAACAUCCUCAGCGGCGGACCGGGCCCAAGUCCCCUGGAAGGAGGCGCCAGAUAGGGUGAGAGCCCCAUUGUGCCCGGACCCUGUCACACCACGAGGCACUAUCUACCAGUUGGAUUGUUUAGGAAUGCAGCCCAAAUCAGGCGGUGAAUUCCGUCCAAGGAUAAAUACGGGCGACAGAUCGAUAGCCAACAUAUACGGCGAGGGAAAGAUAAAAAGGACUUUGAAAAAAGAGUCAAAGAGUGCUUAAAAUUAUCGGGAGGGAAAUGAAUGGGGGCCGAUGAUGCAUCCCGGUCAGAUGUGGAAUGGCGACGAGCUGAUCUGCCGAUCGACUCGGGGCAUGGAAAAGCAUGGAUUGGGGGGCGUCCAAAGCCCGGGCUCUCGAUACUCUCGUGGAAUGAUGUCUCCUCGAUUGUGGCAGGCAGCACGUACCUCCGGCGUGCUUCAAUAACUGUGCGCUACAGACGCUGGCCUGUGGGCUCCCCAUUCGACCCAUCUAGAAAAACUGACCAAAAAGUCUGACAUGUGUGCGAGUCAAUGGGCGAGUAAACGCGUAAGGCAUAAGGAAUCUGAUUGGUGAUAUCCCCCCGAGGCGUGCACCGCCGACCGACCUUGAUCUUCUAAGAAGGGUUCGAGUGUGAGCAUACCUAUUGGGACCCGAAAGAUGGUGAACUAUGCUUGAGCGGGGUGAAGCCAGAGGAAACUCUAGUGGAGGCCCGCAGCGAUACUGACAUGGAAAUCAUUCGUUUGACUUGGAUGUAGGGUUCGUGGAUUCUUUGUCGAGCCGUGCCACAGAAUCAAGAGCUCCAAGUGGGCUAUUUUUAGUAAGCAAAACUGGCGAUGCAGGAUGAACCAAAAGACGGGUUACGGUGCCAAGCUGCAUGCUAACCUAGAUCCCACAAAGGGUGUUGGUCGAUUAAGACAGCUGGACGGUGGUCAUGGAAGUCAAAAUCUGCUAAGGAGUGUGUAACAACUGACCUGCCGAAUAAACUAGACCCAAAAAUGGAUGGCUCUUAAGCGCGUGACCUAUACCCGGCAGUCGGGGAAAGUUCCAGGCCUCGAUAAGUAGGAGUGUGAGGCGGUCGCUACAAAACCUUGGGCGCGAGCUUGGGCAGAGUGGCCACCAAUGAAGAUAUUAGGGGUAGUUUCAAAUGAGAACUUUGAAGGCCGAAGAGGGGAAAGGCUCCAUGUGAACGACACUUGCACAUGGGUUAGUCGAUCCUAAGGGUCUGGGAAACCCCAACAGAUAGCGCGUUUCGCGCGUACUCCAAAAGUAAAUCGGGUUAAAAUUCCUGGACUGGGAUGUGGUGGUCGACGGAAAUGUUAGGAAGUUUGGAGACGUCGGCAGAAGCCUCAGUAAGAGUUAUCUUUUAUGUUUAACAGCCUACCCACCCUGGAAUCGGCUCAGCUUGAGGUAGGGUCUAGCGGCUGGAAGAGCACCACACGUCGAGUGGUUUUCGGUGAACUACCAGCAGCCCUUGAAAAUACAGAGGACCAAAUGCCGUCCACCCCCGAUCGUACUCAUAACCACAUCAAGUGUCCAAGGGGAACAACCUCUGGUUGAUGGAACAAUGUAGGCAAGGGAAGUCGGCAAAAUGGAUCCGUAACUUCUGGAAAAGAAUUGGCAUUGAGGGCUGGGAAUGGGGGUCCCAGUCCUGAAACCAUUGGCAAUCAGUGGACUACUCGAGCUGCUCCCGUAGAAAGAGCGGGUCACCACAUGCUGGUCGGGGGACGGACUGGGAACUGUUCCUUCGGGGGCCUUCUCCGCAUGUCAAACAACCAACUUAAAAUUUGUAUAGACAAGGGGAAUCCAACUGUUUAAUUAAAAAAAAGAAUUGCUAUGGUCCUAAUGGAUGUUCACGCAUUGUGAUUUCUGCCCAGUGCUCUGAAUGUCGAAGUGAAGAAAUUCAACCAAGUGUGGGUAAGCGGGAGUAACUAUGACUCUUAUGGUAGCCAAAU